GAUGAGAAAGUAAGGAAUUAAGUUAUCAUCCUAAAAUACUAUCUAUAUGUAUAAUUGUUAUGACAACAACGCUCUACCUCUAUGUAUCUAGACCGAGAAGAAGGGAUUUUAUUAGGUAAUAGUGGUGAAAAGGGACUACGUAAAUGAAGAGAGGAAAUAUUGUUUAUCUUUUAUUAGAAAGGAAUGUUGCUAUUAGAGAUUGUAUAGUGCCCGGUGGUAGACGAUGGAUACAGUUAGGCAAUCUAAUAUCUUGUCAUUUUAAAAUUAUUUUAGUAGC
rnacentral:lncRNA from 1 species